rnacentral:rRNA from 1 species
GUGGGGAAUAUUGGACAAUGGGCGAAAGCCUGAUCCAGCCAUGCCGCGUGUGUGAAGAAGGUCUUCGGAUUGUAAAGCACUUUAAGUUGGGGGGAAGGGCAGUAAGUUAAUACCUUGCUGUUUUGACGUUACCGACAGAAUAAGCACCGGCUAACUUCGUGCCAGCAGCCGCGGUAAUACGAAGGGUGCAAGCGUUAAUCGGAAUUACUGGGCGUAAAGCGCGCGUAGGUGGUUUUGUAAGUUGGAGGUGAAAUCCCCGGGCUCAACCUGGGAACUGCCUUCAAAACUGCAUGACUAGAGUACGGUAGAGGGUAGUGGAAUUUCCUGUGUAGCGGUGAAAUGCGUAGAUAUAGGAAGGAACACCAGUGGCGAAGGCGACUACCUGGACUGAUACUGACACUGAGGUGCGAAAGCGUGGGGAGCAAACAGGAUUAGAUACCCUAGUAGUCC